GGUCUCCCUGGACUGAAGAAGGGGAGAAUAGAAGCCCAAGACUAUUAAGAUUCUCAAAAUGGUUUACUACCCAGAACUCUUGGUCUGGGUCAGCCAGGAGCCAUUUCCAUACAAGGAAAUGGAGGGAGGUCUUACUAAGUUUCAUGGGGCCAGAGAGGUGGCUGCGGUUUCGAAUCCUGCUGCUCUUCCAGAGGGUCGGGGUGGAUUCCCAGCACCCACAUGAUGGCUCACAAAUGUUGGUUACUACAGUUCCAGGAGAUCCAACAUCCUCUUCUGGCCUCCCGCGCACUGCAUGCUUGUGGUUCAAAUACACACAUUCGAUCAAACCACCCAUGCACAUAAAAUAAUAUUUUUUUUC
rnacentral:lncRNA from 1 species